rnacentral:rRNA from 1 species
GAGGCCUUGAAAUGGGAAUUGAGCCAAAGGGGAGGGAUUCCCGGUAGGGGGAAUGGUGGGAUGGGGGACCCCAGGGGAAGGGACUUUUGGUUUUAAUGCGCUGGGACGAAAGCGGGGAGCGACCGGAUUGAUACCUGUUAGUCCCCCCGUAACGAUGAGGCUAAGUUUAGGGGUUUCGCCCCUUAGUGUGCAGCUACGCAUUAGCACUCGCCUGGGAGUCGGUCGAAGACUGAACUCAAGGAAUGACGGGGCCGCACAAGCGGUGAGCAUGGGUUAAUUGAAGCAACGCGAAGACCUUCCCGGUCUGACAUCUCUGCAAUCCUGAGAUAGACGUCCCUUCGGGGCAGAGUGACAGGUGUGCAUGGUGUUGUCAGCUCGUGUCGUGAGAUGUGGGUUAGUCCCGCAACGAGCGCAACCCUGAUCUUAGUGCCAGCAUUCAGUGGGCACUCUAAGGUGACUGCCGGUGACAAACCGGAGGAAGGUGGGGAUGACGUCAAAUCAUCAUGCCCCUUAUGACCUGGGCUACACACGUGCUACAAUGGACAGAACAAAGGGCAGCGAAACCGCGAGGUUAAGCCAAUCCCACAAAUCUGUUCUCAGUUCGGAUCGCAGUCUGCAACUCGACUGCGUGAAGCUGGAAUCGCUAGUAAUCGCGGAUCAGCAUGCCGCGGUGAAUACGUUCCCGGGCCUUGUACACACCGCCCGUCACACCACGAGAGGGGGAACACCCGAAGUCGGUGAGGUAACCUU